CCAGGGGGCGCCCCCGCAGCGGGUAGGGCCGGAUCGGAUCGGGCCGGCGGAACGGGAGGCGGCCAUGGCUGUGCUGCUGGAAACCACGCUGGGAGACAUGGUCAUCGACCUCUACACGGAGGAGCGGCCCCGCGCUUGCCUGAAUUUUCUGAAGCUCUGCAAAAUCAAGUACUACAACUACUGCCUUAUUUACAAUGUGCAGAGAGACUUUAUCAUACAGACAGGCGACCCCAUGGGAACUGGCCGUGGAGGUGAAUCCAUAUUUUGUAAACUGUAUGGCGAUCAAGCUAGAUUUUUUGAGGCAGAAAAAGUGCCAAGAAUUAAGCACAAGAAAAAAGGAACGGUGUCAAUGGUGAACAAUGGCAGCGAUCUGCAUGGAUCACAGUUUCUUAUUACGACAGGGGAAAACCUGGAUUAUCUGGAUGGUGUGCAUACAGUAUUUGGAGAAGUGACUGAAGGCAUGGAUGUAUUGAAGACAAUUAAUGAGACCUUUGUGGAUAAGGAUUUUAUCCCGUAUCAAGAUAUCAGGAUAAAUCAUACAGUUAUUCUGGAUGAUCCAUUUGAUGAUCCACCUGACUUGCCUAUUCCUGAUCGCUCACCAGAGCCUACUAAGGAGCAGCUAGAUAGUGGAAGAAUUGGAGCAGAUGAAGAAAUUGAUGACAUGAAAGGACGGUCUGCAGAUGAAAUAGAAGAAGUUCAGGCAGAAAAAGAGGCAAAAACUCGUGCCAUUCUUCUGGAAAUGGUGGGAGAUUUACCAGAUGCAGAAGUCAAGCCACCAGAAAAUGUGCUGUUUGUUUGUAAACUGAAUCCCGUGACCACAGAUGAAGACCUAGAGAUAAUAUUUUCCCGAUUUGGUCCGAUUAAAAGCUGCGAAGUGAUUCGAGACUGGAAGACUGGUGAAUCUCUUUGUUAUGCUUUCAUUGAGUUUGAAAAGGAGGAAGACUGUGAGAAAGCCUACUUCAAAAUGGACAACGUGCUGAUAGAUGACAGACGGAUACAUGUGGAUUUUAGCCAGUCUGUUGCAAAGAUUAAGUGGAAAGGAAAAGGUGGGCAGUACACCAAGGAUGAUUUCAAAGAGUAUGAAAAGGGACGUGAUAAAACUUCAAAAUUUGCCCUAAAAGAGAAGGUGAAACCAAAGCAGGAUGCCAAGUAUGACCUUGUGCUAGAUGAGGAAGAAGAAGAAUCUCAAUCAAGUCAGUCACACUUGGCUAAAAAACAGAAGAAGAAAAAGCACUACCACUCUGAAGAUGAAGAAGAUGACAAGAGGACCAAAAAAUACAAGUGUAUUUUGACUCAUCCCUUUUCUUAGUUUGACACCAGUUUCCUGAAUCUUCAGCCUCGUAGGUGAAUGUUAAGAAGAUAUUUUUGAACCUUGUGCUGUUUGAUUGGAUUCCAGAGGGCUGAAAAGGAUUCCGAUCGAAAACAUGAAGGAGAACGCUGUAGAGAAAAGACGAAGAGUGAGAAGAAAGACAGGCAUCGGAGUCGCAGCCGAUCUCAAGAGAGAAGUUACAGCAAACAUAAAGACAAAUACAGAGAAGAUGUCCGAGUAAGGGACUGGGAUAAAAAGAGAGACAGAAGCAGAAGUCCUAAGAAAUCUAAAGACAAAGAGAGGUCCAAGUACAGAUGAUGGAGGAGCAGGAGAUGUGAGGGAGCUAAAGUAGUGUUUUCUUCCUGCAUUUACAACAUGCUGUCAUACAACCGUGCAAAUUCAAAGCAGCUACGUUCUGUCAGCUGUUUGACUUUACAAUUCUUUGAAUUCCUGGUGUAUGACAUGCAGUAAGGCUUGAUUCCCAGAAGGUUUUUUUAAUAAAAUGUUUAACAUUCGUGGAAUGAUUUGAGUCUCCAAUAAGGAAUGUUGUCUAAAGCUUGUUGGAAAUGUAAACGUGCUAUCAAGUGAAUUGCCUACUGGAAGGACUGCAGGAUGUACUUCCUUUCUGCAAGGAGAAUGUAUUUGUCUUUCUGCACUCUCAGAUGCUGUGGUAGAGGAGAAUGAUAGAGGGCCUGGGAGUCAGAAAUGUUAUGUGCACUCUCCCUUUAAAAAGUGACCUGAUACCAUUUGUGUGAGCGCUCAGAGGGCUAUUUCCUUCUUUUAAAAUGAGCUACAGGUUGCUUUAGUCCUGACAGCUCUCAUUUGCUGAGAACUGUGCAGCAGUGCUUAAAGGCAUUGAAGUGCUGCACUGCUGCUUGCAAGGCUAUUGGAAGUGCUACGCUGUACUAAAUCGUUUGCACUAAGUUGCUCAGUUGUUGCAUAGAUCCUUUGCCUGUGUAGCAUUACUAGAGGAUGCCUCUCAAAAUGUCAGCUUCACUUGCUAUUUGACACAGUUGCAGUCACUGUUGAAGAUCUUGAGCUCUGUAGUGUCAGGACAUCCAGCUGUUGUGACAUCAGGCAAGUUGUGCUGAAGGGAUAAGAAAGAAGAAAGUGGUCAUUGGCAGGAAGGCAGAAUCUGUAACUUGCACUGCACUUGCCAAAGCCAAGAUGGGAUUAAUUUUCAGGUCUGGUGGCAGAAGUGGGUCUGUUAAUAAAUCUUCAUUUACAAAGGAAUGCAGGUAAUGUUAUCAGUCUGGGUCUUACUGAAAGUCAACAGGCUCUUAAAUUUCCAGUUUGCUCUGAUAUAUAAGACCUGGAUGUUUAAAUAGUGUUAUUCAAUUUGCAUACAGUUUAAGAACAUGAGUGUUCACCUCUUUCUUUCCAGAGAAAGAUCUUGUUCUGAUAAGAGGGAAAGAGCAGCUAUGGGUGCAGCGUUCAUCAUUUCUUCCUCCAAGAAAUGUGAUGACUCGGAGGAGUCUGGUCUGGUGAAUAAGUUUAACUUUGUGGUUGUGGUUUUGCUGUAGAGUCUGAUUCUGUAGUAGGCGUGUAAAGUUUUUAUAGGUACCUCUCGUUGGAACUUGAUCUGAAGUACAGAACCAAGAUCUAAAAUACUUGGUGGCCAUGAAGAAUUGCAACAUGUUGCUCUGCCCUGGAGGGCCGAGAGCAGUUCUGCUCUGCUUGGUGAGUACGUUUGAAUGCACUUCAUGCAGAAAGUGGACUUCAAACCAACAAACCCCUAUGGGAAGGGAAGGCUGUCGCUGAAGGAAGAAAAUUACUCCAUGGCAGAAGAUUCGGACUAAGCAGGCCGGGCUAGAUGCCUACCCAGACCCAAACUGAGCAAGGAUACUGAAGGGUAUCAUGUACAGAUAGGAAUGUGCUUUCCAAAAACAGCUGCAUUCUCUUUGGUUUGUAAAGAUGGAGUGUAUUUGGCUAAGAGGCUGCCUUUACUCAGUCUCUCCUUUCUAGCUUGUAUAUAUUCCAAAGCACAGAACUAGAAAUUCAGUUUCCAUAGCUGCGUCUUAAGUUACUGGGGGCUUGCAAGGAAGCCCGCUCUUGGGAGUGUUGGAGCUUGGGGCUGAGAGCUGCACACUGUUCUCAUUGAGAUUUCUGCCUUCAAAAUAAGGUUUGCAGAGCACCCCACAAGGCCAAGACGUGAUGCAUUUGCAGUAGUGCUGCUGAGGUGCUGUUUUUCUCAUGUUCUUCCUGCUUUGUUAAAGAAAUGACGUGUGUGCUGGCAUGUUGUCCUUGGUUCUUCUUUUCGGUGGCACAUUUUCAAUAUAUGUAAAACAGUGACCAAGGUUGACAGGGAGGUGGAAGUGCUGAACAGUGAGGAUCUUGCUGUUAUCUGGAAGGGACAGUCAUAGAAAAGAGAGUUUCCACUCUGAGGAAAAAGCCGGAUUCUUGCUGGACACCCAAGAAUCCCUUUCCUAUAACAUCCCUUCUGCCAAUCACCUGUUACAUAUGUAAGAAUACUAUAAAUAAUAUACAAAUGGUCAAGUUUA